CAGUAGCCGCGGUAAUACGAGGGGGGCAAGCGUUGUUCGGAACUAUUGGGCGUAAAGCGUGCGUAGGCGGUUCGUUAAGUCUGUUGUGAAAGCCCCGGGCUCAGCCUGGGAAUGGCAAUGGAUACUGGCGAGCUAGAGUGUGUCAGAGGAUGGCGGAAUUCCCGGUGUAGCGGUGAAAUGCGUAGAGAUCGGGAGGGACAUCAGUGGCGAAGGCGGCCAUCUGGGACAACACUGACGCUGAGGCACGAAAGCGUGGGGAGCAAACAGGAUUAGAUACCCCCGUAGUCCCUGUCUCUUAUAC
rnacentral:rRNA from 1 species